rnacentral:rRNA from 1 species
GAUGAACGCUGGCGGCAUGCCUUACACAUGCAAGUCGAACGGCAGCACGGGAGCUUGCUCCUGGUGGCGAGUGGCGAACGGGUGAGUAAUAUAUCGGAACGUGCCCAGUAGUGGGGGAUAGCCCGGCGAAAGCCGGAUUAAUACCGCAUGAGACCUGAGGGUGAAAGCGGGGGAUCGCAAGACCUCGCGCUACUGGAGCGGCCGAUAUCAGAUUAGCUAGUUGGUGGGGUAAAGGCCUACCAAGGCAACGAUCUGUAGUUGGUCUGAGAGGACGACCAGCCACACUGGGACUGAGACACGGCCCAGACUCCUACGGGAGGCAGCAGUGGGGAAUUUUGGACAAUGGGCGCAAGCCUGAUCCAGCAAUGCCGCGUGCAGGAAGAAGGCCUUCGGGUUGUAAACGUAGCUUUGUCUAGGGAAGAAAGUACCU